AUUGAACGCUGGCGGCAGGCCUAACACAUGCAAGUCGAACGGUAAUAGGAAACAGCUUGCUGUUUCGCUGACGAGUGGCGGACGGGUGAGUAAUGUCUGGGAAACUGCCUGAUGGAGGGGGAUAACUACUGGAAACGGUAGCUAAUACCGCAUAACGUCGCAAGACCAAAGAGGGGGACCUUCGGGCCUCUUGCCAUCGGCUGGGCCCAGAUGGGAUUAGCUAGUAGGUGGGGUAACGGCUCACCUAGGCGACGAUCCCUAGCUGGCCUGAGAGGAUGACCAGCCACACUGGAACUGAGACACGGUCCAGACUCCUACGGGAGGCAGCAGUGGGGAAUAUUGCACAAUGGGCGCAAGCCUGAUGCAGCCAUGCCGCGUGUAUGAAGAAGGCCUUCGGGUUGUAAAGUACUUUCAGCGGGGAGGAAGGGAGUAAAGUUAAUACCUUUGCUCAUUGACGUUACCCGCAGAAGAAGCACCGGCUAACUCCGUGCCAGCAGCCGCCGUAA
rnacentral:rRNA from 1 species